rnacentral:rRNA from 1 species
GCAAGUCGAACGAGACGAGAGCUUAGCUUGCUUUGCUCGAGUUUAGUGGCGGACGGGUGAGUAACACGUGAGCAACCUGCCCAGAAGUAGGGGAUAGCCCGCCGAAAGGUGGAUUAAUACCGUAUGUGAUCUCCAGGGGAUUCCCUGGUCGAUUAAAGGUGGGGAUCCUUCGGGACCUGCCGCUUCUGGAUGGGCUCGCGGCCUAUCAGCUUGUUGGUGAGGUAACGGCUCACCAAGGCGACGACGGGUAGCUGGUCUGAGAGGAUGAUC